rnacentral:rRNA from 1 species
UACGUAGGGUGCGAGCGUUGUCCGGAAUUACUGGGCGUAAAGAGCUCGUAGGUGGUUUGUCGCGUUGUCCGUGAAAACUCACAGCUUAACUGUGGGCGUGCGGGCGAUACGGGCAGACUGGAGUACUGCAGGGGAGACUGGAAUUCCUGGUGUAGCGGUGGAAUGCGCAGAUAUCAGGAGGAACACCGGUGGCGAAGGCGGGUCUCUGGGCAUUAACUGACGCUGAGGAGCGAAAGCAUGGGGAGCGAACAGG